UACGUAGGGAGCAAGCGUUGUCCGGAAUCAUUGGGCGUAAAGCGCGCGUAGGCGGCCUCGUAAGUCCGUUGUGAAAGUCAAAGGCUCAACCUUUGAAAGCCGAUGGAUACUGCGGGGCUAGAGUCCGGAAGAGGCGAGUGGAAUUCCUAGUGUAGCGGUGGAAUGCGCAGAUAUCAGGAGGAACACCAAUAGCGAAGGCAGCUCGCUGGGACGGUACUGACGCUAAGGCGCGAAAGCGUGGGGAGCGAACAGG
rnacentral:rRNA from 1 species